GGGUGAGGGUGAGGGUGAGGGUGAGGGUGAGGGUGAGGGUGAGGGUCCCGUCCGUCCCUCCCUCCUUCCCUAUGUCCAUCACAUUGUUUCGUCACAGAUUUUCGAAGUGGAGAUACAAUUCGCAUGCCAUAUUUCGCAUACUCUUAAAAGUGGGCCAUUGGGUGGCCUUUUUUUCUUUUUUUUUAAGGUGGCUCACAAAGCUGCACAACCUUCACUGCAAUUUCCAGAACAUUUCCAUCACCGCCAAAAGAAAUAAACACCUCUACUACCCCUCCCCCCUUCCUGUCCGCGCCUCGCCCCCACCCGCCGUCACCGUCGCCCUCGCCGUCACCGUCGCCCUCGCCCUCACCCGGGCUCUCUUCACUGUUCUCCCCCAACAGGGAGUAGAAAGGGAAGUUAGAGGGAACAUUCUUCCUCCCCUACACCUGCUGAACGCACAUGGACACACACCGCAACCCUCCCCGCCAGGCGCGCGCACCCACCCACCCCCGCCCCGCCAAGCCCCGCCCCGCCACGCCACGCCACGCCACGCCCCCCAUCCCGGCCUUACGUGUACCUUACGUACCUCUGCACGGACUCGAGAUUUGGCAAUAGCCUUGAUUGCCCUGCAAUGUUUCCAAACCUCGGCGCUCCCCAACCUUCCCCACCCCGACCCCCGCCCCUUCGAAGAAGAACUAACCUAAUUCGGGGAGCUUCCAGGUUGCUUGAACGCCUGAAAUGGUGGGGACAGAGGCGUUCCUGGAGAGGGGUCACGGAACACGGAAGCUCUGCCCCCCUUCCCUUUGCCUCUGUUCCAUCUGGAGUUUCCUCAGUUGUAUCCUUUUAGGACACAGCGGUCAUGUAAGAAAUGAGAAAAAAAAGGACUGAAGGACUGAACCGGGCUAGACUGGUUUAAAAUUCUUCACUAGCGUCCAUGCCGAAUACAUUUCGACGACAGGGGCCUUCGCACGGCUUUUGGUGCACAGAAGACCGAUGCACCGAAGCCUGCCGAUCUCGGGACGUGUCCACGAGGGGAAAGAGUGUCAGCCUAUCGGAAAAGAGAGUCGGUUAACGUAGAUUGCAAAGGCAUUCGUUCAUCCCGAGAGACUUCCUCUCCAUGAUGGCGGGUGGCGCGAGAUGGAAGAGUUGGCUUCCAUGAAAAAGGGGCCCUUUCUUGAAGACCCUGCCCAGCUAUCGGGGUUUUGUUGGUUUGUGUUUUGUCAUCUGUGAUAGGAAGGCAUCUUCUUAGCCAUCGGGAGGGAAACCUCAACAAAUUCAGCCAUUCAGAUCACAAGGGAUUUCUUGGGUUUGGUGGAUCUGAGAUCUGGUCUGCCUCCGACUGCUCCCCGAGAUUGCCUUUAUGCCGAGAAUGGGAUUCCUCAUCAGACACACAGAAGUCCGGCUCCUUGCCACGGAGCUGGCUGCUCUAUGGAUGCCUUUAAAAAGGAAGCCUGCCUUUAAUUCGGACGUCGGAACGUGAUCGGUCGCUUUUUCAUGGGGGGUUGGCCAAUUAAAUUUCCCCCGCCUUGGGCGCCUGGGUGGCUCAGUUGGUUAAGCGGCUGCCUUCGGCUCCGGUCAUGAUCCUGGAGUCCCUGGAUCGAGUCCCGCAUCGGGCUCCCUGCUCAGCAGGGAGUCUGCUUCUCCCUCUGACCCUCCCCCCUCUCAUGUGCUCUCUCUCAUUCAUUCUCUCUCUCUCUCUCUCUCUCUCUCUCUCUCUGUCUCAAAUAAAUAAACAAACAAACAAACAAACAAAUAAAUAAAUAAAUAAAAUCUUAAAAAAAAAAAAUUCCCCCCGCCUUACAAAGCAGAGACUGGUGAAGGGUCCUCCAAGUGCCCUCUGGAAAUCAAGAGCUUCUGUAUCAAGAGGCUGGAAAACGCAUCUUCCCCUUCUUCCUGGUGAAUCCAAUUCUAGGGGUUGAUUCAAAGGAAAUCAUGUUUUAGAUGCUAAAACGUAAAGCUUACUUUUGCAAAAAUGUGCAUCGCGGCAUAGGGUUUAGGAAUCCCUUGUGGCAGACCGACAACCGUGUGUCCCUCACGUCCCGGCACGUGUGCACCCUCACGUCCUAUGACUUCGAUGCUCCUGCUAUCCAGAGGUAGGCUUGAUUGCUCUGUCCCUUGAUUUUGGACCGGGUCUUGGGACUUGUCUUGACCCAAAGAAUAGAGCAGAAGUGACACUUGGCUGGUUUCACAGCCUACACCUGAAGAGGUGGUCUGCCGGCGUUCUCGACCUUCUUGGCAUGCCGUCCUGAGACCUCCACGUAAGAAAGCCAGUCUAGCUGACUGGAGCAUGAGAGGCAUUGACAACAGAGGCAGCCCGGUGCUCGGCGGCACCGACUGCCAGACGUGUGAAAGUUGACCCUCUGGCCGAAAGCCACUGCUUGAGUGAGCCCGGCGUAAACCCGCAGAACCCAAGGGGCCACCCAGGGCAAGCACCAGGAAGUUAUCGAUAAAGAAAUGCUGUUUCGAGCCAUUGCGGUGUUAGGAUGAUGCACCCUGAGGAUCAGCUAGCUGCGCAGCAGCGAUAGAUACCGUGCACACAGAUACACACCACACAACACACCACACCACACCCCCCCCCCACACACACGUGUGCAGAAAACCAAACCAACGAAACAAACCAAAACUCUGUAGAACCCUGCACCAAAUGUUGAGGAAACAACGGCCCACCCUCACAAGAAACACCUGCACGCUACAUGUACAAUGCAUAGGGAGCCUAUACUUGCAAGUGCUUACUUGCAUGGGAAACAUUUCACGAUAACAUGAGUCUCAGAUGGCCCAAGCGGGGUUCUUUUGACAUGUCUGAAUUGUGUACACAAUUAGAGAAAGCCUGCUAGGAGACUGGGUGAUCAGAAACUAGGAAGCUCUUUGGUUCCCUCAGUGAAGCCCCGACUUUUGGGGAGGAACCAACACUCAGGGAGAUGCUCUGGUCUUCAUUUGGUUGGUUGGUUGGUUGGUUGGUUGGUUGGUUGGUUGCUGCAGCUUUUGCUAUCUUUGCAUAAAACCGACCCUGUUUCCAUUGGGAAUGGAAAACAACUGACGGGUGGGAUCUGUACACGGUAAUGCUGCUUCGCAGUUGCAUUUGUUUUACUAAAAGAGGGAGAUUUGAACAUUGGGUCUUUCGUGUCCUCUCCAUUCAUGUCCUCUCCACAAAUAAGACUGAAACAAAGGCUAAAAUUUGUUUGCAUCUUGUUUGUGUCUAUGUGUCCGUAUGUGUUAUACAUGUGAGGUAUUUCCUCCACCUCCGGGUGCUAUUGCUAACAUCCAUUUGUAAAGGAGCUCUAUUUAAUGAGUUCUAUUUUUAUUUUAUUUUAUUUUAUUUUAUUUAUUUUAUUCUUUAAAGAUUUUAUUUAUUUAUUUGACAGAGAGAGACACAGCGAGAGAGGGAACACAAGCAGGCGGAGUGGGAGAGGGAGAAGCAGGCUUCCCGCCGAGCAGGGAGCCCGAUGCAGGGGCUUGAUCCCAGGACCCUCGGAUCAUGACCUGAGCUAAAGGCAGACGCUUAACCACUGAGCCAUCCAGUCAAAAUAAUGAAGAAGAGGAGGAAGACAGGCCGAUGCUAGAAAUCUGAAAUCCACUCCUCCUCCUCCCCAAGUACAGGCACCAGAACCGAUGCCCAACCCACUGGCUUCCGGAGGGCUGAAAAGCCACCACAGACAAAGCCUAUUAAGCAGAAGGAGAUGAAGAAAGGGGCGGAGGCGGAGGCGGAGGCGGAGGCGGAGGCGGAGGCGGAGGCGGAGGCGGAGGCGGAGGCGGAGGCGGAGGCGGAGGCGGAGGCGGAGGCGGAGGCGGAGGCGGAGAAGAAAAAAAAGAAAAGGCCCUGCUACCAAAUACUGGCUGUCUCUGCAGAAGUCUGGACUCAAGGUCAACUGAUAAUGGCUGCAGCCUAUGAAGAAGCGAGGUCCUGAUUCCUUACCUGAGAAAAGGAGCCUAAGACCCCAUCCAGGUUGUACCAGCUCUCAGAGCAUGCCCACAGCCUCUUCUCCUUGUCCUCAGAUAACCUCCUGACAUCAGGGACUCAGUUUUGCCUCAUUCAGAUGUCAGGUCUCCACCCCGAAGUAAACAUGGGAAUCUAUGAGAAAUUAGAUCCCAUCCAGCAAGAGCUGAAUCCGAGUCCUCUGCUCACCCCACGACGGAAAAGAAUAUGCACAGGCCUGCAUCCCUCUUCUCCUUCUCCACCAUGUCGGAAGAAAAGAUUUUACUGGACAGAGACACAGCGAGAGAGGGAACGCAAGCAGAGGGAGUGGGAGAGGGAGAAGCGGGCUUCCCGCCGAGCAGGGAGCCCGAUGCGGGGCUCGAUUAUCGGGACCCUGGCACCCUGGCACCCUGGCACCCUGGGAUCAUGACCUGAGCCGAAGGCAGACGCUUAAUGACUGAGCCACCCAGUCGCCCCCCACUUUCCACCUUGACCGUGCCUAGUCGUCCACCCGUCUAGUCCUCUUGGCCGCGCCUGGUCUUGCCCUCGAAUGUGUUCGUCUGGAGCACAGAGCUAGAUCCAGAGAAUGAGAGAAUGAGAUCGAUGGACCCACGGACGGAAAUCAAGUUUCUCUUUCCCUGAAAUGACCUAGGACACUCCUCUUCUAGUCAGCUCCCAUCCUGCUCCCCCACCCCCAACAACCUCUCAUCGGACCUUCCCCUUUUGCCACCAGAAAGCUUUUCCACUCCUCCGCCUGGCCUGCGUUUGCUUGGCGUCUCUGCCAGACCCAGGCGGUGGUGGCCGACCGCAGACUCUCUUGCCCUCAAGAAAUGAUUCCCGCUCUCAUGUGGGUGAUCUUUUAUCUCCACAGAGGUGGCUCACAAAGCUGCACAACCUUCACUGCAAUUUCCAGAACAUUUCCAUCACCGCCAAAAGAAAUAAACACCUCUACUACCCCUCCCCCCUUCCUGUCCGCGCCUCGCCCCCACCCGCCGUCACCGUCGCCCUCGCCGUCACCGUCGCCCUCGCCCUCACCCGGGCUCUCUUCACUGUUCUCCCCCAACAGGGAGUAGAAAGGGAAGUUAGAGGGAACAUUCUUCCUCCCCUACACCUGCUGAACGCACAUGGACACACACCGCAACCCUCCCCGCCAGGCGCGCGCACCCACCCACCCCCGCCCCGCCAAGCCCCGCCCCGCCCCGCCACGCCACGCCACGCCCCCCAUCCCGGCCUUACGUGUACCUUACGUACCUCUGCACGGACUCGAGAUUUGGCAAUAGCCUUGAUUGCCCUGCAAUGUUUCCAAACCUCGGCGCUCCCCAACCUUCCCCACCCCGACCCCCGCCCCUUCGAAGAAGAACUAACCUAAUUCGGGGAGCUUCCAGGUUGCUUGAACGCCUGAAAUGGUGGGGACAGAGGCGUUCCUGGAGAGGGGUCACGGAACACGGAAGCUCUGCCCCCCUUCCCUUUGCCUCUGUUCCAUCUGGAGUUUCCUCAGUUGUAUCCUUUUAGGACACAGCGGUCAUGUAAGAAAUGAGAAAAAAAAGGACUGAAGGACUGAACCGGGCUAGACUGGUUUAAAAUUCUUCACUAGCGUCCAUGCCGAAUACAUUUCGACGACAGGGGCCUUCGCACGGCUUUUGGUGCACAGAAGACCGAUGCACCGAAGCCUGCCGAUCUCGGGACGUGUCCACGAGGGGAAAGAGUGUCAGCCUAUCGGAAAAGAGAGUCGGUUAACGUAGAUUGCAAAGGCAUUCGUUCAUCCCGAGAGACUUCCUCUCCAUGAUGGCGGGUGGCGCGAGAUGGAAGAGUUGGCUUCCAUGAAAAAGGGGCCCUUUCUUGAAGACCCUGCCCAGCUAUCGGGGUUUUGUUGGUUUGUGUUUUGUCAUCUGUGAUAGGAAGGCAUCUUCUUAGCCAUCGGGAGGGAAACCUCAACAAAUUCAGCCAUUCAGAUCACAAGGGAUUUCUUGGGUUUGGUGGAUCUGAGAUCUGGUCUGCCUCCGACUGCUCCCCGAGAUUGCCUUUAUGCCGAGAAUGGGAUUCCUCAUCAGACACACAGAAGUCCGGCUCCUUGCCACGGAGCUGGCUGCUCUAUGGAUGCCUUUAAAAAGGAAGCCUGCCUUUAAUUCGGACGUCGGAACGUGAUCGGUCGCUUUUUCAUGGGGGGUUGGCCAAUUAAAUUUCCCCCGCCUUGGGCGCCUGGGUGGCUCAGUUGGUUAAGCGGCUGCCUUCGGCUCCGGUCAUGAUCCUGGAGUCCCUGGAUCGAGUCCCGCAUCGGGCUCCCUGCUCAGCAGGGAGUCUGCUUCUCCCUCUGACCCUCCCCCCUCUCAUGUGCUCUCUCUCAUUCAUUCUCUCUCUCUCUCUCUCUCUCUCUCUCUCUCUGUCUCAAAUAAAUAAACAAACAAACAAACAAACAAAUAAAUAAAUAAAUAAAAUCUUAAAAAAAAAAAAUUCCCCCCGCCUUACAAAGCAGAGACUGGUGAAGGGUCCUCCAAGUGCCCUCUGGAAAUCAAGAGCUUCUGUAUCAAGAGGCUGGAAAACGCAUCUUCCCCUUCUUCCUGGUGAAUCCAAUUCUAGGGGUUGAUUCAAAGGAAAUCAUGUUUUAGAUGCUAAAACGUAAAGCUUACUUUUGCAAAAAUGUGCAUCGCGGCAUAGGGUUUAGGAAUCCCUUGUGGCAGACCGACAACCGUGUGUCCCUCACGUCCCGGCACGUGUGCACCCUCACGUCCUAUGACUUCGAUGCUCCUGCUAUCCAGAGGUAGGCUUGAUUGCUCUGUCCCUUGAUUUUGGACCGGGUCUUGGGACUUGUCUUGACCCAAAGAAUAGAGCAGAAGUGACACUUGGCUGGUUUCACAGCCUACACCUGAAGAGGUGGUCUGCCGGCGUUCUCGACCUUCUUGGCAUGCCGUCCUGAGACCUCCACGUAAGAAAGCCAGUCUAGCUGACUGGAGCAUGAGAGGCAUUGACAACAGAGGCAGCCCGGUGCUCGGCGGCACCGACUGCCAGACGUGUGAAAGUUGACCCUCUGGCCGAAAGCCACUGCUUGAGUGAGCCCGGCGUAAACCCGCAGAACCCAAGGGGCCACCCAGGGCAAGCACCAGGAAGUUAUCGAUAAAGAAAUGCUGUUUCGAGCCAUUGCGGUGUUAGGAUGAUGCACCCUGAGGAUCAGCUAGCUGCGCAGCAGCGAUAGAUACCGUGCACACAGAUACACACCACACAACACACCACACCACACCCCCCCCACACACACACGUGUGCAGAAAACCAAACCAACGAAACAAACCAAAACUCUGUAGAACCCUGCACCAAAUGUUGAGGAAACAACGGCCCACCCUCACAAGAAACACCUGCACGCUACAUGUACAAUGCAUAGGGAGCCUAUACUUGCAAGUGCUUACUUGCAUGGGAAACAUUUCACGAUAACAUGAGUCUCAGAUGGCCCAAGCGGGGUUCUUUUGACAUGUCUGAAUUGUGUACACAAUUAGAGAAAGCCUGCUAGGAGACUGGGUGAUCAGAAACUAGGAAGCUCUUUGGUUCCCUCAGUGAAGCCCCGACUUUUGGGGAGGAACCAACACUCAGGGAGAUGCUCUGGUCUUCAUUUGGUUGGUUGGUUGGUUGGUUGGUUGGUUGGUUGGUUGCUGCAGCUUUUGCUAUCUUUGCAUAAAACCGACCCUGUUUCCAUUGGGAAUGGAAAACAACUGACGGGUGGGAUCUGUACACGGUAAUGCUGCUUCGCAGUUGCAUUUGUUUUACUAAAAGAGGGAGAUUUGAACAUUGGGUCUUUCGUGUCCUCUCCAUUCAUGUCCUCUCCACAAAUAAGACUGAAACAAAGGCUAAAAUUUGUUUGCAUCUUGUUUGUGUCUAUGUGUCCGUAUGUGUUAUACAUGUGAGGUAUUUCCUCCACCUCCGGGUGCUAUUGCUAACAUCCAUUUGUAAAGGAGCUCUAUUUAAUGAGUUCUAUUUUUAUUUUAUUUUAUUUUAUUUUAUUUAUUUUAUUCUUUAAAGAUUUUAUUUAUUUAUUUGACAGAGAGAGACACAGCGAGAGAGGGAACACAAGCAGGCGGAGUGGGAGAGGGAGAAGCAGGCUUCCCGCCGAGCAGGGAGCCCGAUGCAGGGGCUUGAUCCCAGGACCCUCGGAUCAUGACCUGAGCUAAAGGCAGACGCUUAACCACUGAGCCAUCCAGUCAAAAUAAUGAAGAAGAGGAGGAAGACAGGCCGAUGCUAGAAAUCUGAAAUCCACUCCUCCUCCUCCCCAAGUACAGGCACCAGAACCGAUGCCCAACCCACUGGCUUCCGGAGGGCUGAAAAGCCACCACAGACAAAGCCUAUUAAGCAGAAGGAGAUGAAGAAAGGGGCGGAGGCGGAGGCGGAGGCGGAGGCGGAGGCGGAGGCGGAGGCGGAGGCGGAGGCGGAGGCGGAGGCGGAGGCGGAGGCGGAGGCGGAGGCGGAGGCGGAGGCGGAGGCGGAGAAGAAAAAAAAGAAAAGGUUCGUCCAAAACUGUAAAUGUAUAUGUGCCCUGGGCCUUACCAAUGGCUCCCUUGCCGCCUCCCCUGCCCCGUUUCUGCACCACUGGUGUGUGUGCCUGGAGUGCUCUACUCCCCUGCCGCCGUCUCAGCCGCCCUUCCCUACCCCCGCCCCCCCGCCCCCCCCCCCCCGGGUGCCAUGGGCUCCCCUUUCUCCUCCUCCUCCUCCUCCUCCUCCCCACCCCCUUAUCAAGGAGCAAAAGCCCUUGCCCUUGGGCCCAAGCCCUUGGGCCACCUCCUUAUGAGGUUUAAAUUGGAGCACCUCCCAAACUAGCAGGAAGGGGCCCGAGGGCUCCGCUGAUCUUAGACCGCCCGCUUCAGACUUUCCCCAAGGAGUCUGAUGGGGGAAAACAAUCGAUUGACUUUUUAGUGGACGCAGGUGCAACUUCUUUGGCGUUAAAGCCAAUUCAAGGUUGUUGGUUUAUUUUAAAAAGACGUGGUUUUGGAGCUAUCAAUGUCACACAUAAUACAAAUAAUCAACUUUGCGUUUCUUUCUUUCUUUCUUUCUUUCUUUCUUUCUUUCUUUCUUUCUUUCUUUCUUUCUUUCUUUCCUUUUUCUUUCUUUCUUUCUUUCUUUCUUUCUUUCUUUCUUUCUUUCCUUUUCUUUCUUUUCUUUGUCAUAAAAGCACUUGGAUUCGGUUCUCCCUGCGUUACAAGCCGUUGGGUGGGCAGUGGAAUGUGCCACGCUCCCGUCACAACAGUGAGCCUGUAUUUGUGGUUAUCAAAAUAUACCUCUCCAUCACCUUUAUAAAAACCAACCAACCAACCAACCACGUUUGGGUGCCUGGGUGGCUCAGUCGUUCAGCGUCUGCCUUCGGCUCAGGUCAUGAUCCCAGGGUCCUGGGAUCGAGCCCCGCAUUGGGCUCCCUGUUCAUUGGGGAACCUUCUUUUCCCUCUGUCCCUUCCCCUGCUUGUGUUCCCUCUCUCGCUGUGUCUCUCUCUGUCAAAUAAAUAAAAUUUAUGAAAUAUAUUCAUACAUUUGCCAAUCUAAAGAAUUCUGGUGUAAUAGAGAGUGCGCCAUUGGUUACUACUAACGUUUCACCAGAGACUGAGAUUUCUAAGAAUUAAAAUUCUGCCACAUGGAAUUGGGACUGCUACAAAAUGAUAACAAAAACAACUCCGUGUGUGGGAAGGUAGGAGACGUGUAAAAGAGGUACAAGAAAUGAGAAAACAUUUUUUUUGUUGAGGGAAAAGGAAGUAAUGGUGUACUGAAACGGGACUGGGUACUUAAAGAAAGAAAACUUUAAGACCGAGUCUGAAUGAAAAAGGAAAUUGUGGAAGGGGUUUGUGAAGGAGAAUUUUUGAAAAGGAAUUUUAUGCAUGGUCAGGACUGACUGAGCUUGGGAGAAGGCAGUUUGAAAAGCACACUGGUGGAACUGGAGGGUAUUAUGUUGAGCGAAAUAAGUCAAACAGAGAAAGACAUGUAUCCUAUGAUCUCACGGAUAGGAGGAAUUCUUAAUCGCAGGAAACAAGCUGAGGGUUGCUGGAGUGGGGGGUGGGGUGGGAGGGAUGGGGUGACUGGCUGAUAGACACUGGGGAGGGUAGGUGCUCUGGCAAGCGCUGUGAAUUGUGCAAGACUGUUGAAUCUCAGAUCUGUACCUCUGAAACAAAUAACGCAAUCUAUGUGAAGAAGAAAAA